rfam:Brachypodium distachyon strain Bd21 chromosome 2, whole genome shotgun sequence.
CUUAUACUUGUUCCGUCCAACAAAAGAUGUCUCAAGUUUGUUAAAAUUUAAAUAUAUCUAAAUAUGACUUAGUUAUAGAUACAUUCAAAUUUUGUCAAAAUUGAGACAUUCUUUGUUUGACCGAGGAAGUAUUCU